CACGAACCGUACGAACGUUAUUCGGAAUUACUGGGCUUAAAGGGUUUGUAGGCGGCCAACUAAGUCAGACGUGAAAUCCCCAGGCUCAACUUGGGAACUGCGUCUGAUACUGGAUGGCUUGAAUUCGGGAGAGGGAUGCAGAAUUCCAGGUGUAGCGGUGAAAUGCGUAGAUAUCUGGAGGAACACCGGUGGCGAAGGCGGCUGCCUGGCCUAGAACUGACGCUGAGGUGCGAAAGCGUGGGGAGCGAACGGG
rnacentral:rRNA from 1 species